UACGUAGGUGGCGAGCAUUGUCCGGAUUUACUGGGCGUAAAGAGCGCGCAGGCGGCUGGUCAAGUCCGAUGUGAAAGCUCCCGGCUUAACUGGGAAAUUGCAUCGGAAACUGAUCGGCUGGAAGGUGGGAGAGGGUAGCGGAAUUCCCGGUGUAGUGGUGAAAUGCGUAGAUAUCGGGAGGAACACCAGUGGCGAAAGCGGCUACCUGGCCCAUUCUUGACGCUGAGGCGCGAAAGCUAGGGGAGCAAACGGG
rnacentral:rRNA from 1 species